rnacentral:rRNA from 1 species
UACGGAGGGUGCAAACGUUGCUCGGAAUCAUUUGGGCGUAAAGCGCACGUAGGCGGCCUGAUAAGUCGGGUGUGAAAGCCCUGGGCUCAACCCAGGAAGUGCACUCGAAACUGUCAGGCUUGAAUAUGGAAGAGGGUCGCGGAAUUCCCGGUGUAGAGGUGAAAUUCGUAGAUAUCAGGAGGAACACCGGCGGCGAAGGCGCU